CGAUCGAGUUGUAUGCCAUGGCGAGCUCCAUCGGAUCCUCUAUCUUCUUCCUGGAAGAUAGGGCAUCGAGGGCGCUCACAUAUCUACUCUGCUUCAUGUCCAGUUGCGCCGCGGAUGCGCUUGCCAGUUCUUUGGCCGUCCCGGGUGCAUCGCAUGGUGAACCCUGUGUUCCCAUGGGCCACCCGGAGACCAGCCAUUCCCCCGCGCACAUUCGCGCCGCAACCAGCAGAAGACUCUCCUACCGACUCAUCCCAUUGCGAGUCCUCCGUUCGCCACCAGGCACCGAACGGGUCGCAAAACUAGCUGGCGGUAUCCGCCGCUAGCGACAUACCCUUCGCUUGGAGGAUCUCUACACUUUAGCAUCCCAGGUCUUUCCGCGGCGAGCAAUUAUGUUCGGCUUUUUGGAUAGCCGACAUAAGCCAUCGCACGCGUUCCAACCUGGUCUGCCGGCACCACGUGGAUUCCAUUCCCCCACUGGAUUUUUAUUUUUAUCUACUUUUCCGCGUAUGGGCUCGAAUGUCCUUAUUAGACGACCUUCGCCACUCCAUUCCUGGUUUAAGCAUUGGGCGCCAUUAUGUUACGGCCUGCUGAUUUUGAUGGGGCAAGGCCGGCUAGCCAGUCAUCAACAGGGCGGAUUCUUCCCCUGUGCCCACAGGUCGCACCAUAAAUUCCACUCGGCAUGGAAUCCACAAAAACAACAAAGAAACAUCAACAGAAACUACAAGUAAAGGACUAAUACCGGACGACACGACGCAGAUUUGGGUCUUCGAUGGAAAGGACCCUGACGCACCCAUCCCUACCAAGGAUCCGUCUAUUUCCCAUUUGAGGAUCUCCCUGGCAUGUGGUUCAUCGGCUUCCUCCAGGCUUCCAUCGCCCUGGGCCAAAGCAAAUACGAUACAAAAAAAAAAAAAAAAGGACGACGAAAGAGCGGGAGAGGACAACAAAGACGCGAAACUACUGCACGGGCAUUGACAUAUAAAUAUAUAUAAAUUAAUAAAAUUAAUAAACCCUCA